UGAUCUCGUCCUAUGACUUUGCUUUAUUUCCUCCAUUCAGCUUCCAAGUCCACAGGACGAGCUUCCUUGCAUGUAGCAUUUCCAAGUCACUGUUCUUUCAUGGAAAUGUCGCUUUCAUCUGAACACUCGUUGAUUUGUAGUGGAGCAUUCACUUUCUGUAUGGCGGCUUUUCAUUGCCAGUCAUUCUCAAUUGUCCACAUGUCAUGGCCUCCAUUUUGGCUGAUACUAUGGGGACUGAACCAAAGAUCUCCAGAGCGAAAAGCACAAGCUGCUGCAGCGUGAACUAAGGCUCCAAGCUGUCUAGCUGCGUUUAGUAACAACUCCUAUCCUCUGCGGAUCAAACUGGUAACACACUCGCCGCUGAGUUACCCAACGAUGGGAUUGUAGCGAAAAAAGCUCAUCACCAGGAGUGCAGAAACAAAAUGCAGCAUCUAAAGCAAAUCUUGAUGAAUACAAUAGGCCAAGGUUUCAUUUACACCAGUGUAAAUCUGGGGUGCCUGUUGACUGAAGCCAGCAUAAAUGAGAUUGGAAUUUGUGCUGCUGCUCUUAAGAUCAUCUGCCACAUCCAAAUAAAAACUGAGUUUGAAAUCUAGUCCUGGCCAGUGUUAGACCAUAAGAGCGUGUCUCCCUCCUGAGUAAUAAGUGUAUGAAUUAAAAAACAAACCUCACAGGAGCACGUCCGGGUGAUUAAGAGGCAUUGAAUGCUCGGCUCAAGCAGGUCCUGCCUUUGACAUAUUAUUUACUGUACAUCAGGAAAAUAAAAUCGUGCCGUUUUUAAAGCUCCCAUUUGCUCCAGCAGAGAUGAGAAGGCUCCAGCUCAUUAUCAAUCGAAUGACUGCUGCUCCCUGGAUAGCCCUUAACUGGCUCCAUUCCCCUUUGCAGACUGCUCAAACCCAGCCACUUGUCAGCCGUUGUGGGAGUGUACCUCUGUUGGUGGCCUGUGCUUCCACAGCCAUUAUAUUCCCUUUCUGCUGGAGAUUUGCUUAUGUAGGGCUCAGAUGCAAUGAAAUUAAAUGUCCCUGCAUUGA